GACGAACGCUGGCGGCGUGCCUAACACAUGCAAGUCGAACGAGAAACCAGCCUUUGAUUCCUUCGGGAUGAUAAGGCCGGUAGAAAGUGGCGAACGGGUGAGUAACGCGUAAGCAACCUGCCCUUAAGUAGGGGAUAACUUUGAGAAAUUGGAGCUAAUACCUUAGUGGUGAUGAGGGUAAUGCUUCAUCAUUAAAGCCUUAGGGUGCUUAGGGAGGGGCUUGCGUCCGAUUAGCUAGUUGGUGGGGUAACGGCUUACCAAGGCGAUGAUCGGUAGCUGGUUUGAGAGGACGGUCAGCCACACUGGGACUGAGACACGGCCCAGACUCCUACGGGAGGCAGCAGCAAGGGAUAUUGUGCAAUGGGCGAAAGCCUGACACAGCGACGCCGCGUGGGGGAUGAAGGCUUUCGGGUUGUAAACCCCUUUUCUCAGGGAAGAAUAAUGACGGUACCUGAGGAAUAAGUCUUGGCUAACUACGUGCCAGCAGCCGCGGUAAUACGUAGGAGGCGAGCGUUAUCCGGAUUUACUGGGCGUAAAGAGGGCGUAGGCGGUCCUUCAAGUCGGAUGUAAAAUCUCCCGGCUCAACUGGGAGGGAUCAUUCGAUACUGCUGGGCUGGAGGGUAGCAGAGGGAGGUGGAAUUCCCGGUGUAGUGGUGAAAUGCGUAGAUAUCGGGAGGAACACCAGUGGCGAAGGCGGCCUCCUGGGCUAUUUCUGACGCUGAGGCCCAAAAGCGUGGGGAGCGAACAGGAUUAGAUACCCUGGUAGUCCACGCUGUAAACUAUGGACACUAGGUAUGGGGAGUAUCGACCCUCUCUGUGCCGAAGCUAACGCUUUAAGUGUCCCGCCUGGGGACACGGCCGCAAGGCU
rnacentral:rRNA from 1 species